AACGAACGCUGGCGGCAUGCCUAACACAUGCAAGUCGAACGAGACCUUCGGGUCUAGUGGCGCACGGGUGCGUAACGCGUGGGAACCUGCCCUUAGGUUCUGAAUAACUCCCCGAAAGGGGUGCUAAUACCGGAUAAUGUCUUCGGACCAAAGAUUUAUCGCCUUUGGAUGGGCCCGCGUUGGAUUAGCUAGUUGGUAGGGUAAAAGCCUACCAAGGCGACGAUCCAUAGCUGGUCUGAGAGGAUGAUCAGCCACACUGGGACUGAGACACGGCCCAGACUCCAACGGGAGGAAGCAGUGGGGGAUAUUGGACCAUGGGCGAAAGCCUGAUCCAGCAAUGCCGCGUGAGUGAUGAAGGACUUAGGGUUGUAAAGCUCUUUUACCCGGGAUGAUAAUGACAGUACCGGGAGAAUAAGCGCCGGCUAACUCCGUG
rnacentral:rRNA from 1 species